UUUGUAAAUGUAAACUAGGUACCUUUAUGUACAAUUUUUAAGCUUACACGAACCCAUUUAUAAGUCGCGACACACCAUUUGACGAUCAAUGGCUUAUAGGAUAUAAGAUUAUGAAUUGAAUUAAUUGUAAGUGGUCCUUAAGUAGGUACCUGUGUUAUUUAGCUAAUUUAAUAAUAUCUAUUUUACUUCAUAGAGGUACCUACCUAAACAAAAAUAUUUUGAUAGCGUUUUAACCGAUUAAAUCAAUUUUGUAAAUGUAAACUAGGUACCUUUAUGUACAAUUUUUAAGCUUACACGAACCCAUUUAUAAGUCGCGACACACCAUUUGACGAUCAAUGGCUUAUAGGAUAUAAGAUUAUGAAUUGAAUUAAUUGUAAGUGGUCCUUAAGUAGGUACCUGUGUUAUUUAGCUAAUUUAAUAAUAUCUAUUUUACUUCAUAGAGGUACCUACCUAAACAAAAAUAUUUUGAUAGCGUUUAAACCGAUUAAAUCAAUUUUGUAAAUGUAGGCUAUAGGUACCUUUAUGUACAAUUUUUAAGCUUACACGAACCCAUUUAUAAGUCGCGACACACCAUUUGACGAUCAAUGGCUUAUAGGAUAUAAGAUUAUGAAUUGAAUUAAUUGUAAGUGGUCCUCCAGUAGGUCCCCGUGUUAUUUAGCUAAUUUAAUAAUAUCUAUUUUACUUCAUAGAGGUACCUACCUAAACAAAAAUAUUUUGAUAGCGUUUUAACCGAUUAAAUCAAUUUUGUAAAUGUAAACUAGGUACCUUUAUGUACAAUUUUUAAGCUUACACGAACCCAU